rnacentral:rRNA from 1 species
AGUGGGGAAUAUUGGACAAUGGGCGCAAGCCUGAUCCAGCCAUGCCGCGUGAGUGAUGAAGGCCUUAGGGUUGUAAAGCUCUUUCACCGAUGAAGAUAAUGACGGUAGUCGGAGAAGAAGCCCCGGCUAACUUCGUGCCAGCAGCCGCGGUAAUACGAAGGGGGCUAGCGUUGUUCGGAAUUACUGGGCGUAAAGCGCACGUAGGCGGAUAUUUAAGUCAGGGGUGAAAUCCCGCAGCUCAACUGCGGAACUGCCUUUGAUACUGGGUAUCUUGAGUAUGGAAGAGGUAAGUGGAAUUCCGAGUGUAGAGGUGAAAUUCGUAGAUAUUCGGAGGAACACCAGUGGCGAAGGCGGCUUACUGGUCCAUUACUGACGCUGAGGUGCGAAAGCGUGGGGAGCAAA